CCUAGAAGACAAAUGCGCUGCUCGCAGAGGCUGCCGCGACAACCAACUGGACGCCCCGAACGCUCAAUCCUCCGAGAAUAUUUUCAAUCCAUGGUUGGGUGCGGAACCUGUGGAUACAGAGGACUGACUAUAAUAUCAAGAGAUCAUAAGGCUGACGGAAUGGACUCUUUGUGGCAAUAAGAUACCAUAUUAUAAACAGCACUUAAGGCUGUGCCAGGAUAAUGACUUAAAACUUAACGUUGGUCACUGCAAUCAAAGUCUUACUAUGAAAAACCAAAACAUCAAGCCCUAGUACAGGAAGGGACAUUUUCACACUAAUCUGUGCCAGCUGGAGCAGUCCUGCCAUCUGAACGUCACAUUUUGGAACAAUUGGGAAGCUAGGAUGCAGUUAACAGCCUCCAUGGUUACCUGAAAAUAGGAAGGGAGGAAGUCUACGAUGCUGGAGCCACAAGAUAUGUACGUUCUUUACUGUAAAAGAUCACACCAGCCUUUGGAAGCCUGAUUCAAUUUGAAAGAGUAGAUAAAAUAUAGUUUCUAGACCUGCCAAGGUGAGGAUGAGACCAAAGACUAGGGCGUGGCCACUACCAUGUGAACACUGGGAGGUCCUCCAACCUCCCCUGACAUUUCUCUUGAACUUCUCAAAGUUACCUGCUGGGACCCCAGGGGUGUGAGUUCCAAGGGCCCCAUCAGCUCUGAGAUUAUACGCUGAACUCAGGCAUCAGAAUUGUUAGACAGCUUUAUCUCAGUUCUGAGAAAUGGUUAAAACCACCCUCGGCAGUCACACGUGGAACCACUUAUUUCAUUACUGUGGACAUUUUCUUGUAGGAAUAAUAUAUAGUGAAAAUCCAUUGGGAUAACCAACAUAAAACUGAUUUUGUUUUCUAUUUGAUAUAGCAAUUGCAUUUUAUUUGUUUGUUGUAUGUAUUCGUAAACUUAUUUUUAAAAAACAGACCUGGAAAAUUUUAUACUUUUUUCCUAUAAUAUCUUUUAAAGCUGCUUGAAAAUUGUUUAUUAUGACAAUAUAUAAAACUAGUUUACAUGGCCAAUAAUAUAUUUUGUCUCUAGGUUGAUGGACCUUAAUAAAAGCAGUUUCUCACCUCUGGAGUUCCACUUCUCUUUCCACUGAUUGAAAUGGGUUGCAUCCAACCUGCAUUCUUGAAACUGAGACUUCUUUAGUGAAACUCCAACAUCUACCACACAUUGGUGGAGAAGGCAGAAUAGCCAGGGGACAUACUGCAACCCCCCCUCCUUUGGACAAGUUUCUCCUCCACUGUCCAUUUGUUAUUUCUCUCCUAUCUCAGGAUGAAAGUGUCCUUUCACUCCUUCGAUGCUAACUCAUCAACUUGUACUCUUGGUUCCAAAACUCUGAUUUUGCUUGUGGCUUAUAUUAGCUCCUCAUUGUCUUUCCUUCAUGGCUGGAUCUCACUCUUCAGGUUUACAAACUUAGUUCACUUCUCUGCAGACUAAAAAACACAAGCCUCCACUUCAUUCUGGCUCCUCUCAGAGCAACCAUUCUACCUCCUUCCUUCCCAUCACAAUUGCCCAUUGACUCUGCUCCACUUCUCUGUCUACCUUCUGCCCUUGCCACUUAAGAAGGUCACACAAAUCCAAACCACCAAAUCCAAGAGACUUGGAUCCUUAAAUGCUGCUGAACCUCUCAGGACAUCUAACAUUGUUUUUACUUCUUUUUUCCUUGUGAAUCUGGUUCUUUCUUUGAAACCCCACAUUUCUCUGAUUUAUCUACCUUAUCUGCUUCCCCUUUCCUAUCGAAUAUAGCCAUGUCUGGCUCCCUACUGUUGGUGGGCAUCUGCUUGAUGUUUUGCUGCUCUGCCCAGUUGCCCUUCUCCUUCUCAAUGGUGGUGGCUGCCCAAUCUGCUGGACCCCUCAGUUCUAAUUGUUAGCUCAUCGUUUCCUCAAAGAGAUGGCUUUUAAAACCCAGCCCAGACAAACCCAAACUCGUCAUCUUGGCCACUGUGCUAGAUCUUUCCUGAUUGUUUGCCCAGUUCAAAAUGGAUUCUCCAUUCUUUGGAGAUGGACACCAAUCUAUAGCAUGGGCCCCAAGCAGCCAUUUGACCUGAUUUCCUGGUCACAGGUGACUGGCACAGGGACAGCCACCUGCCU